ensembl:lncRNA
CUUGAUUUGAGUGCUUAACAGGAGCUGACAGAUAAGGGGUAGGAGGCGUGGAGAAGUCAGCCAGCCUAAGAUUGCAUUUCUUAAUUCUGGACUGUACAGUAUAAUCAGCUUCCUUGAUGGUUCAGAGGCAAAGAAUCCACCUGCAAUGCUAGAGAUCAGGAUUUAAUCCCUGGGCUGGGAAGAUCCCAGAGGAGGAAAUGGCAACCCACUUCAGUAUUCUUCUCUGGAAAAUCCCAUGGCCAGAGGAGCCUGGCAGGCUGCAGUCCACGGGGGCAUGCAAGAGUGGGACACAACUGAGCACGGGAGCACUAGGGCACAGUGUAGUCACUUGAGAAUAUAUUUUAAAUUACUGAUUCAUAGUUCUAUCUUCUCUUCCUUCUUUCCACCUCUAAGAAAUUUCUAUUUGAUUAGUCUGAGAUAGGACCUGGGCAGGACUGUUAAGCAGUAACAAGUCUGGUUUAGUUUAAUUGGCCUAUAAUUGGUCUACGUAAAUGAUCAAGUGAACAUAAAAGUUCUUCUUGUUUCAGCACUAGAUACUCUAUGGUUGACUUGCAUGACGAGAAAAAUUAAAAAAGAAAUCUAAUCUGAGAUUUAUCAAUUGAGUUUCUGUGUAUAUGCUGUUUGUGGAUAUAUUCAAAUGAAUAACUGCUUCUGAAGUAUUGUUUUAUGAUCAUAUAAGGUUCAGAGUACAGGGUCUCCUUUCCUGCUUCUGGUUAAUUCCAUGCUGCACCUGCAGCACUCAAGAACCAGAAACCUCAUUCAUAUGACUGAAACUUCUCUCUGACCCGGGGAUAUUGCCUUGGGUCAUAUAAUCUCUUCUCCCUCUGUGUUUGUAGAAGGGACACAAAGAUAUUUCAAAAUCCUGCCAACACAACUCAGGACCAAGCUUAGACUUUCUCUGGGCCACAAGUGACUGACGUGAAACAUCUUUCUUCUUAAGAUGGUGACUUAUCCAAUAGAUCACUAUAGAAAAUCACCUAUGACGAAUGGAAAUCAUAAAGAAUUUCCCCCCAGAGUAAAUGACAUAGACACUUUCCCUGCAAUUCAACUACUCUACCUCUUAGUGACGUUCUUUAUUAUUGGAGUAUCCUGGAGGGAAUAUCACAAAAAUGAAAACAUGAAGAAAGAAAAAGGUAUGUUACCUUCAUCCAUGUACAAAGAUUUGACUAAUAACCUAAUUGAUUCUAAUUCUUAAUUCAUUUGUAAGUUGUAUAAAUUUAUUGGAAAUAAAUGAGCUUAUCUAAUCUUUUAUUAAGAGAAAGAAGUAAAAGGACAAUUUAUCUCCUCCCAAAUGGAAAAUAAAUAAUUGAAGAAAAGUCAGACCUGAUUUAUAUAAAAGCUAUGUUCUUGGUACAUUGGC